ACAUACCAAUUGUUGCCUCGGCGGAUCAGCCCGCUCCCGGUAAAACGGGACGGCCCGCCAGAGGACCCCUAAACUCUGUUUCUAUAUGUAACUUCUGAGUAAAACCAUAAAUAAAUCAAAACUUUCAACAACGGAUCUCUUGGUUCUGGCAUCGAUGAAGAACGCAGCAAAAUGCGAUAAGUAAUGUGAAUUGCAGAAUUCAGUGAAUCAUCGAAUCUUUGAACGCACAUUGCGCCCGCCAGUAUUCUGGCGGGCAUGCCUGUUCGAGCGUCAUUUCAACCCUCAAGCCCAGCUUGGUGUUGGGACUCGCGAGUUAAAUCGCGUUCCCCAAAUUGAUUGGCGGUCACGUCGAGCUUCCAUAGCGUAGUAGUAAAACCCUCGUUACUGGUAAUCGUCGCGGCCACGCCGUUAAACCCCAACUUCUGAAUGUUGACCUCGGAUCAGGUAGGAAUACCCGCUGAACUUAAGCUA
rnacentral:rRNA from 1 species